rnacentral:rRNA from 1 species
GGGGAAUCUUGCGCAAUGGGCGAAAGCCUGACGCAGCAACGCCGCGUGGGGGAUGAAGGCUCUCGGGUCGUAAACCCCUUUCAGCAGGGACGAUUGUGACGGUACCUGCAGAAGAAGGCCCGGCCAACUACGUGCCAGCAGCCGCGGUAACACGUAGGGGCCAAGCGUUGUCCGGAUUUAUUGGGCGUAAAGAGCUCGUAGGCGGUUCGGUAAGUCGGGUGUGAAAACUCUGGGCUCAACCCAGAGACGCCACUCGAUACUGCUGUGACUAGAGUCCGGUAGGGGAGCAUGGAAUUCCUGGUGUAGCGGUGAAAUGCGCAGAUAUCAGGAGGAACACCAGCGGCGAAGGCGGUGCUCUGGGCCGGAACUGACGCUGAGGAGCGAAAGCGUGGGUAGCGAAC